CACUGAGCCACCCAGGCGUCCCUGGACUUCAGGCUUUGACCAUUAUAUGAUGCUGUCUACCUCUUGAGUGCAGAGGUGUGCCAUGUGGCACACUUAUUUGGAGGGUGAAGGAUGGAGCAACUCUGAAAGUUCUCUAGAAUAUGGGACUCAUCUUCCUCCAGUGUUUGGUAUCUCCUUCAAGAUCUAGUUCUACCCAGAGUGGCCUUUUGUUUUGUUUUAUUUGAAAUAUUUUAUUUAUUUAUUCAUGAGACAGAGAGAGAGAGAGAGAGAGAGGCAGAGACACAGGCAGAGGGAGAAGCAGACUCCAUGCAGGGAGCCCGAUGUGGGACUGGAUCCUGGGACACCAAGAUCACACCCUGGGCUAAAGGCAGAAGCUCAACUGCUGAGCCACCCAGGCAUCCCCCAGGGUGGCCUUUGGGAUGUAAUGACUUUCCAUCAACAUCAGCCAACCAAGAGUUUCUGUUGGACAGGAGGACAGAGGCUUCCUUGGUACUCAUUCUGCUGUCCAUUCAUUCAACAGAGGCUAUCAGAUUUCUAAUGUGUGCCAGGCACUGUGAACAAAAAACCCCAGACAACGACCCCUAUCCUCAUGGAGUUUAUAUGCUAUCAGGGAAGGCAAAAAUAAAAAAGAGAAACAUACAAAGUUAUGGGAACUUAAUGAUGAAUGCCAAGCAGAAACAAGGAAAACAGGAGGUGGAUGGGAGGUAUUGGAGACUGUAUUAGUUCCCUAUAGCUGCUGUAACAAAUCACUACACUUGCAGUGGCUUAAAACAGCCCAUAUUUAUUAUCUCACAGUUUGGGGGAGGUCUGAAGUCUAAAAUGAGUCUGGUCUGCAAGGCCGCAUUCCUUCAGGCAGCUCCAGGGGAGAAUCCAUUUAUUUGCCUUCUCCGGGGUUUUAGGGCUACUCGCAUUCCUUGUUCCUGGCCCUGCAUCACUUCAACCUCUACUUCCUUGUCACAUCUCCUUCUCUGACCUUGGCUCCUCUGCCUCCCUCUGAUAAGUACCCUUGUGAUUCGAUUUGGCUCACCCAGACAAUCUCCUCAGCUCAGAAUCCUCAUUUAAUCCCACCUGCAACAUAUGCAACCUCCCUUUAGCUAUGAGUGGUAACAUAGUCAUGAGUUCCGGGGAUCAGGAUGUGGACAUCUUUGAAGGAGGGCAUUAUUCUGUCUACCACAGGGACUGAAAUCUGAGAAGAUAUGACUAAGGAAGAACUCACGGAGAUGACAUUUGAGUAAAGACCUGAGGGAAUAAGGAAGUAUGCAGAUGCCUGGUGAGAGAGCCUUCCGGACAGAGGAAAAGGCAUGUGCAAGAGUCCUGAGGCCUAGCAGAAGCUACACCUGGACUCCGGCAGCCAAACAGGUGGAACUGGCUUUUGGAUUUUUCUACCCAGCUACCCCUUGUGGUGUACAGUAUAGUGAUUCAACACUUGGAUAUGAUAUCCGGUGCUCAUCACGAUUACUCUUGAAGGAAGACAAAACAGAGAAAAACAGCUGAGAAAUGGAGGAAGACGGAUUCCUGAUGAGACCACUUGAAUACUUGAAUCUAAGCAUGCCUGACAUCUUACCCAUCAAUUAGGAUGUCGCCAAAACCAUAUAUGUUGCCUGCAGGUGGUUUGUGCGUCACCAGAGGACGAUCUCUACUUAGAUUCUUGGGAGCCAUCUGUUUUCUGCAUAUAGAAAAAUGACAGGGACUCACUUUCCAAGAAAUUACACUAUGUUCAAUGACUUCCCAUCAAGAGUAAGCAAUGUUCCGUAUCCUGCCAUUGAUGGCAACUGAAAUAUCAACUCUUUUUUUGGACUGGGAGCCCACCACUGGUUCUCCUGCUUCUCAGGCCUUUGCACUUGGAGUAGAACUUACAUCAUCAAGCCUCCUGGGUCUCCAGUUGGCAAGACUGCAGAUUUGGGGACUUAGCCUCCAUAAUCAGAACGAAGGGGCCGAGAUUCAGAUUUUGCAGAGGAACCUCUGAAUUGCCAUUUCUGGAUGAGCAAGGAUUUAAGCUAAUGACUGUCAACUCGAUGAGGAGAGGGAGUGUAUCUGGCUUGUUCACCAGUGUAUCUCUAGAUUCCAAGACAGUGCUGAGUACAUGGCUGACUGCCUCACCUGACUACAGUUCCGUGCCAAAAGGAGCCUGGACUCUCCAGCCACUCCUGCACCUAGUACACCAUAGCCACUUGGACUGUCUGCUGAAGGAAUGAGCCUCUUUUCCGCAAGCCACCAGCAUGGGACUCCCAUGGGGUGGAGAAAUCCAUCUGAUGGCUCAGCAACACUGGCAACCUGCUGUGAGCCAGGCCCCGAGUGGUGCCCUGGAGCUGUGCCACCAGGAGAGGGAUCCUCUGCAGUUUUCCCUUCCUUCUUGUCCCAUUUGACACUUUUUGCUUUAAAAAUUACUAGGACUCCAGAAGAAAAAAAAAAAAAAAACAGAAACUGCAAAAUUCACGGCUCCCUGCAUCACAUGCUGUUACUCUGCGAGAUCUGGGUGGUUCUUAUAUCAAAGUUACCAGCCCUGCGGUAGGAACUCUCACAAAUCACUAGCCACAGAGUGGCCAACCUCAUUUGUCACUGCCAGAAGUGCCCAGUUAUCCAACAGCAGGCUGAUAAACAGGGAGAGCCCAGCCACCAGGCAUCCAUCUCGUUAAUGGGACGUUAAUGUCUUCAAUUGGCCGCCUGGGCCCCUAGCGCAGAAUCCAACUGGGGCAAUGUCUAAUUGCCCCCUGAUGCUAGUAAUUUAUGGAGUCGGCUCCCAUGGCAGCUUGAAUCCAGCCAAUCCAUUCGGAUCCUUAAUUGAAAAUGGUGGCUUAACAAGAAACCCUGCUCUGUAGGGCAUAGCGUGGCCAGGUGGGGCCAUGGGCAGGUGGAAAGGGAUCUGCAUGGACAGUAUAAGCAGGUGGGAUACUUGCACCACCCCCACCCCAGCCCUUCAAAAUACUCUGUAUUCUAAAACCAGGCUCUUCAUCCCUAACCCAGCAGCCAGACUCAGGGACAAUACUAAACUCCAGGGAUGCAUUUUUAGCUACUUGCGGGGAUGGGGAAGGCAAAAAUCAGGUGCUGGAGUUAGGGGUGGGCCAACUCUCACCCAGCUGGAUUGUGUUUCCCGUCCUGCAGUGUCCCCACCCAAGUGUGUGCGCUCCAUUCAGAAAUCAGAUUUGGUACCUCCAGAUGCCAUGUGUGUGGAACACAGUGGUGAACAACAGGGACAUGGUCCCAGCUUUUUCGUGGACAACCGACAAGUGAUCAGAGAAAUCAGCAAGAUGGUUUUGAAUAGUAAACGCUAAGAAAAUGAUAAAAUAGGUACAUGUCAAGUGGAGAAUGGACAC